rnacentral:rRNA from 1 species
GACGAACCGAGCGAACGUUGUUCGGAAUCACUGGGCUUAAAGGGCGCGUAGGCGGGCUGUCAAGUCUGGGGUGAAAUCCCGCGGCUCAACCGUGGAACUGCCUCAGAUACUGACGGUCUCGAGGGAGGUAGGGGCGAGCGGAACUGAUGGUGGAGCGGUGAAAUGCGUUGAUAUCAUCAGGAACUCCGGUGGCGAAGGCGGCUCGCUGGAUCGGUACUGACGCUGAGGUGCGAAAGCGUGGGGAGCAAACGGG